rnacentral:rRNA from 1 species
UUGGAGGGCAAGUCUGGUGCCAGCAGCCGCGGUAAUUCCAGCUCCAAUAGCGUAUAUUAAAGUUGUUGCAGUUAAAAAGCUCGUAGUUGAAUUUCGGGAUCAGCAGGUUGGUCGUGCCUCUGGUAUGCACUGGUUUCGCUGAUUCCUCCUUUCUGAAGAACUGUAAUGUCAUUAAUUUGGUGUUGCAGGGAAACAGGACUGUUACUUUGAAAAAAUUAGAGUGUUUAAAGCAAGCUAACGCUUGAAUACAUUAGCAUGGAAUAAUGAAAUAGGACGUUUGAUCCUAUUUCGUUGGUUUCUAGGAUUGACGUAAUGAUUAAUAGGGAUAGUUGGGGGCAUUAGUAUUCAAUUGUCAGAGGUGAAAUUCUUGGAUUUAUUGAAGACUAACUACUGCGAAAGCAUUUGCCAAGGAUGUUUUCAUUAAUCAAGAACGAAAGUUAGGGGAUCGAAGACGAUCAGAUACCGUCGUAGUCUUAACCAUAAACUAUGCCGACUAGGGAUCGGAUGAUGUUAAUUUUUUAAUGACUCAUUCGGCGCCUUACGGGAAAC